CAGAGUCGUAAAAAAACUCCAAACCCACUGUGAAUCUACCUAUUAGUUUCUUUGGCAGGCGGUCCCAGGGCGGGGCCGUAGCCGCGAGGCGCCUGCCAAUGGACAACAUACUAUAUCUUUAGCGGUCUUCUGAGUACUAUAACAAUAAUUA
rnacentral:misc_RNA from 1 species